CUUGGGUACUCGAGUGGCGAACGGGUGAGUAACACGUGGGUGAUCUGGCCCUGCACUUCGGGAUAAGCCUGGGAAACUGGGUCUAAUACCGGAUAGGACCACAUUUUGGAUGGUGUGGUGGAAAGUUUUUCGGUGUGGGAUGAGCUCGCGGCCUAUCAGCUUGUUGGUGGGGUAAUGGCCUACCAAGGCGUCGACGGGUAGCCGGCCUGAGAGGGUGUACGGCCACAUUGGGACUGAGAUACGGCCCAG
rnacentral:rRNA from 1 species